ACAUCGAAGUCUAGCGGAAAUAAUUGAGAUGAUUCACACUGCAAGCCUAAUACACGAUGAUGUGCUUGAUGACAGUGGGAUGCGAAGAGGCAAGGCGACUGUUCAUCAGAAAUACGGCACACGGGUGGCAGUACUAGCUGGUGACUUCCUGUUUGCGCAAGCGUCUUGGAACCUCGCGAACCUCAGAAACCUUGAGGUCAUCACGCUCAUUAGUAAAGUUAUUAAGGAUUUCGCUAGCGGUGAG
rnacentral:misc_RNA from 1 species